GACGAACGCUGGCGGCGUGCUUAACACAUGCAAGUCGAACGGAAAGGCCUGCUUUCCCUUGUGGAUUGCGGGUACUCGAGUGGCGAACGGGUGAGUAACACGUGAGUGAUCUUCCCCCAACUUGGGUAUAAGCCUGGGAAACUGGGUCUAAUUACCGAUAGGACUGCAGGGUGGUGUCUGUGGUGGAAAACGAAUUUCUAGUGGUUGGGGAUGAGCUCGCGGCCUAUCAGCUUGUUGGUGGGGUAAUGGCCGACCAAGGCGGCGGCGGGUAGCCGGCCUGGGAGGGUGGACGGGCACAUUGGGACUGGGAUACGGCCCAGACGCCUACGGGAGUCAGCAGUGGGGAAUAAUGGACGAUGGUCGGAAGCCGGAAGCAGCGACGCGGGGUGGGGGAUUACGGCCUUCGGGGUGUAAACUCCUUUCGACCGCGAGGAAGCCACCUGGUUGGAAGGGUGGUGACGGUAGUGGAAGAAGAAGCACCGGCUAACUACGUG
rnacentral:rRNA from 1 species